AAUGCGCAAUUAUGUCACUGGCAAUACAGUUGAGAAAACCUUUCGAGCUGGAAGUACGGAGGAACAAAGCCUGCAACCCUAGAAACUGGAGCUGUUGUCACGGUGCCCUCUUUUGUGAACGUAGGCGAUGAUAUCCUAGUUGAUUCAAGAACCGGACAGUAUAUGAACAGAGCAUAGAGGAUUAAAGAGGAUUUUGGAUUUGAAGAGAGUACUAGUUUUUUGUUCGGCCAUUUGUCCCAUUCACAUGUACGAAUGCUCUGCAUCUUUUGUCCCUGGGAAAUUUACAUUUCCGGUGCAUGUGGAUCCUGCUGCGAAA